AGCGAAUGCAUGGCGGCGGUCGGCGGAAAUCGGUAAAAAAACAAACGGAAUUCUGCCUUCCUUCCGUGGUGAGGGUGAUGACGAGGAUCGACAGGACCAGAACCCCGGCCCCUGUCGGCCCCCUGCCCACCAUUACCGCUCCUUCCAUAGCAGCCUGCAGUCCAAAUGCAUACUGCUUGCUUCCGGACCGGCCGCACCGCUUCCAACUGCACCAAACGGCCGAUAUGGAGGACCACCGGAGCGGGUACGGGAAUGGUGCUCAGAUUGUGGCUCUUAUUCGGCCUCAAGUUCCAGUGAUUGACUCACUAUUAUGGAGAAUUUCCAUCCCCAAAAGAUGAAGACCCCAAUUAACACAACUGCAAUGAUGGAAAGGAAGAUGACAACCUUUUCAGCAACAGUUAUACCACCUGAAAAGGAACACAAAAGUCAUUGUAACAUUUAUGUGUAC